rnacentral:rRNA from 1 species
AUGUUCGACAAUAGAAAUAGUGGUGACGCUGUCAAAGCUCUAGUUUACGAAUUCAUGCCUAAUGGGAAUUUGGACACAUGGUUGCACAACACAUUCUCGGGUAGUUCUUCGAAAUGUUUGUGCUUAGCUCAAAGAGUAGACAUAGCCAUCAAUAUAGCCAAUGCGCUGGCUUAUUUACACAAUGAUUGUGAAAGGCAGAUUGUACAUUGUGAUCUGAAGCCAACAAAUGUCCUACUUGACGAUGAUAUGAAUGCUUAUUUGGGAGACUUCGGCAUUGCAAGCCUCAUCGGACAUUCAAGCUUAGUCACCUCAACUGGGCUAAAGGGAACAAUAGGGUACAUAGCUCUAGAGUAUGCUCAAAGUGGCCAGGCAUCAAUCCAUGGGGAUGUUUACAGUUUUGGAAUAGUACUCCUGGAGAUGCUCAUUGGCAAAAGACCGACAGACCCUAUGUUUGAGAAUGAAAUCAACAUGGUUAACUUUGUGGAGAGGAACUAUCCAGAUAAGAUAAUACAUAUUAUUGAUGCACGCCUGCGUGGAGAAUGCAAGGGCUAUAUCCAAGCGAACAUUGGAACAGAAAUGCGGCAUAUGAUGCCAGUUUGUCACUCAUGCAAGUCGCUCUUUCCUGUACAUGUCAAAUCCCAAGGGAAUGCAUGA